GAUGAACGCUAGCUACAGGCUUAACACAUGCAAGUCGAGGGGAAACGAUAUUGGAAGCUUGCUUCCGAUAGGCGUCGACCGGCGCACGGGUGAGUAACGCGUAUCCAACCUGCCCACCACUUGGGGAUAACCUUGCGAAAGUAAGACUAAUACCCAAUGAUAUCUCUAGAAGACAUCUGAAAGAGAUUAAAGAUUUAUCGGUGAUGGAUGGGGAUGCGUCUGAUUAGCUUGUUGGCGGGGUAACGGCCCACCAAGGCGACGAUCAGUAGGGGUUCUGAGAGGAAGGUCCCCCACAUUGGAACUGAGACACGGUCCAAACUCCUACGGGAGGCAGCAGUGAGGAAUAUUGGUCAAUGGACGAGAGUCUGAACCAGCCAAGUAGCGUGCAGGAAGACGGCCCUAUGGGUUGUAAACUGCUUUUAUAGGGGAAUAAAGUGAGCCACGUGUGGUUUUUUGCAGGUACCGCAUGAAUAAGGACCGGCUAAUUCCGUG
rnacentral:rRNA from 1 species